AUCAGUCUGCAGCUGUCAAUCAAACCUGAGAGUGUGAAGACAAUUCUACCUCUGACAUCAUCAAAGCCCCGCCCAUCUGAAACACCAAUCAGUCAGAGGAGGCGAUCUUAAAAAAUAACGGUUUGACCUGAUUGGUCCUGUGUCUCUGUGUUUCAGGUCUCUUGUCUCUGUGUUUCAGGUCCAGUGUCUCUGUGUUUCAGGUCCAGUGUCUCUGUGUUUCAGGUCCAGUGUCUCUGUGUUUCAGGUC